rnacentral:rRNA from 1 species
ACGCUGGCGGCGUGCCUAAUACAUGCAAGUCGAACGGGAUUCUUUGAUCAGCUUGCUGAGAGAAGGAUCUAGUGGCGGACGGGUGAGUAACGCGUGGGAAUCUGCCUCUUACUGGGGGAUAACAGUGGGAAACUACUGCUAAUACCGCAUAAGAUCUUCGGAUGAAAGGUGCAACUGCACCGGUAAGAGAUGAGCCCGCGUCCCAUUAGCUAGUUGGUGAGGUAAAGGCUCACCAAGGCGACGAUGGGUAGCCGGCCUGAGAGGGUGACCGGUCACAUUGGGACUGAGAUACGGCCCAGACUCCUACGGGAGGCAGCAGUGGGGAAUAUUGCACAAUGGACGAAAGUCUGAUGCAGCGACGCCGCGUGAGGGAUGAAGGCCUUCGGGUUGUAAACCUUUUUCGCUUUUGACCAAGGCAGCAUUUUGGUGUUGUUGAGGGUAUGAGGUAAAGAAGCUCCGGCUAACUACGUG